UACGAAGGGGGCUAGCGUUGUUCGGAAUCACUGGGCGUAAAGCGCACGCAGGCGGAUUGAUAAGUCAGGGGUGAAAUCCCGGGGCUCAACCUCGGAAUUGCCUUUGAUACUGUCUGUCUUGAGUCCGGGAGAGGUGAGUGGAAUUCCUAGUGUAGAGGUGAAAUUCGUAGAUAUUAGGAAGAACACCAGUGGCGAAGGCGGCUCACUGGCCCGGUACUGACGCUCAUGUGCGAAAGCGUGGGGAGCAAACAGG
rnacentral:rRNA from 1 species